AUUGAACGCUGGCGGCAGGCCUAACACAUGCAAGUCGGACGAGUGGCGGACGGGAGAGUAAUGUUUGGGAAUCUAGCUUAUGGAGGGGGAUAACUACGGGAAACUGUAGCUAAUACCGCGUACCAUCGGAUGAGCCCAAGUGGGAUUAGGUAGUUGGUGAGGUAAAGGCUCACCAAGCCGACGCUCUCUAGCUGGUCUGAGAGGAUGACCAGCCACACGGGUACUGAUACACGGCCCCUACUCCUCCGGGAGUCAGCAGUGGGGAAUAUUGCGCAAUGGGGGCAACCUGACGCAGCCAUGCCGCGUGUAUGAAGAAGGCCUUCGGGUUGUAAAGUUCUUUCGGUAGCGAGGCGUUAACUACAGAAGAAGCACCGGCUAACUCCGUGCCAGCAGCCGCGGUAAUAC
rnacentral:rRNA from 1 species